rnacentral:tRNA from 1 species
GGGCCGUUAGCUCAGUUGGUAGAGCACCGGACUUUUAAUCCGUUGGUCGUAGGUUCGAUCCCUACACGGCCCACCA